rnacentral:rRNA from 1 species
AUGAUAAUUAUGGAUGUGCUCCGAUUUGCAUUUUCCGAGAAAUCAGGAUUUAGAGAGUUUCUCAAUGAAUCUUGUGAUAGGGUCAGCCUAACAACCAAAACCUGGACAUCUAUGCAACAGCAGAGCUAUAUUUGUGUUAAGGCUCAUUUCCUUGACACCGGUUGGAGGCUACAUAAGAGGAUUAUUGGGUUCUUCUUGGUGUGUGGUCAUAAGGGGGAAGACAUUGGGAAUGACAUCGAGACGUGUUUGGUGGAUUGGGGUUUAGAGAAAGCGUUCACAAUAACCGUUGACAAUGCAUCAGCAGACGAUGGUGCUGUAAGUUACAUGAGGAGGGCCAUGAACGAUGCUAAAACUAGCAUAGCAAAAGGACAAUAUGUUCACAUGAGAUGUGCAGCCCAUGCCAUAAACAUGAUAGUUUUGGAUUGCCCAAGAGAGUUGGAUAUCCCAGUGCAACGAGUCCGUGCUGCUGUCCGUUUAAUCAGAAAUUUUUUAUCUGGAAUUACUCAAUUUAAGAAGUAUGCUGACUUGGAGAAGGUGGACAUCAAAGCAUUCUUAUCGCUUGUUGUAUGCAUCAGAUGGAACUCCACAUACCUAAUGUUGAAAGCUGCAGCCACAUAUCAGAAGGUGUUUGAUAGGUAUGGUGAUGAUGACCCUCACUUUGCAAUCGAGUUAAAUAGUGAGAAACCACCAGGAGUUCCUGGAGCUGUAGAUUGGGAAUAUGCAAGGAAGAUUUCGGAGUUUCUUGAGCAUUUUUAUAACCUCAUUGUUCGUGUUUCGGUCCAAGCACUCAUUUGUACUCAGGAAUGGAUGCGGUCAGCUCCUGUAAAUGAUGAAGAGGAUACAGAACAGUUGAUCAAACUAGAGGAAGAAUUACUUCAAGAAAUGAGUGGCCUCAACGUAUCCGAGACUAGCUCUAGUAAUAACAAUUCCAUCACCGUUGAUCAUUCCACAUCAUAA